UGAUCCUGGCUCAGGACGAACGCUGGCGGCGUGCUUAAUACAUGCAAGUCGAGCGGCGAACCGGCCCGAAGGCUUCGGCCGGAGGGUUGGCAAGCAGCGGCGGAUGGGUGAGUAACGCGUGGGUACCUGCCCUAAAGUUUGGGAUAACAAUCCGAAAGGGUUGCUAAUACCGGAUGUGACCGAGAGGUUAAAGACAGAGAUGUCGCUUUAGGAUGGGCCCGCGUCCCAUUAGCUAGUUGGUGGGGUAAAGGCCUACCAAGGCUGCGAUGGGUAGCCGGCCUGAGAGGGUGGACGGCCACACUGGGACUGAGAGACGGCCCAGACUCCUACGGGAGGCAGCAGUAGGGAAUUUUCCGCAAUGGACGAAAGUCUGACGGAGCGACGCCGCGUGAGGGAAGAAGGCCUUCGGGUUGUAAACCUCUGUCCCCAGGGACGAAGAGGGCACGGGAGACGUGCCGAAGACUGUACCUGGGGAGGAAGCCCCGGCUAACUACGUGCCAGCAGCCGCGGUAAUACGUAGGGGGCGAGCGUUGUCCGGAAUUACUGGGCGUAAAGGGCGUGUAGGCGGCGAUUUAAGUUAGGCGUGAAAGACCCCGGCUUAACCGGGGGGUUGCGUCUAAGACUGGGUUGCUUGAGAGCAGGAGAGGAGAACGGAAUUCCCGGUGUAGCGGUGAUAUGCGUAGAUAUCGGGAGGAACACCAGUGGCGAAGGCGGUUCUCUGGUCUGCAACUGACGCUGAGGCGCGAAAGCUGGGGGAGCAAACAGGAUUAGAUACCCUGGUAGUCCCAGCCGUAAACGAUGGAUACUAGGUGUGGGGGGUUCGACCCCUUCCGUGCCGCAGUUAACGCAAUAAGUAUCCCACCUGGGGAGUACGGCCGCAAGGCUGAAACUCAAAGGAAUUGACGGGGGCCC
rnacentral:rRNA from 1 species